UUGUGUCCAUGGAAACAGCUGGUUCAGACUCCUUGGUCAGAUUCUGUGAUGUCAUCAGUCUUGAGUGUGAUGUAAGAAUUUAUGAAGGAAGUGCUGGCAUUGGCAGGCACGUCGAGAGGGGGCAUGGCUGCACAGUGGGAGAGAUUCCAUUCAGUCACGAAUGUCCACCGCUUUUUAUCUCAACAGCCUAACCUGAAAAACAAAGUGAAAAUAAUAUUGGAAUGGUUCCUUGCCUCUGCCUGCCAACAGGCCCCCCCGGCUUUGGAAAAACCCACUCAGCACCUACCACAGCAGUAACACCAAGAGCUCUUUAGUUUUGUGGACUGAAAACGGAUGGAAGCACAAUGGUGAGGAGUUCAUAAAAGCAAAUCCAUGGAUAAAAAGCAUUAGUUUAACAAUCAGUAAAAGAUUAAACAAGCCCAGUUAUGGAGCAGGUCCAGGAUGACAGGAUGAUCCGUGCCACGACUCUGACAGAGCCACUGCCGCCAGCGGCCAGACAGGAGCUCGCUCACCUCGUGCUCGCUCCUCACGCUGACGGUCACCCCACUACCAUGCAACAGUGCUUUCCGGUGAACAUGUAGCAGAUAAUGAAACCAGUAUCAAAAUUACAGGAGUCCAGUCGCAGGAACCGAAUCUGGGAAAUGGCUACAUUUCACCAGCUAAAGGUAAAGCUGUGGUUUAACUAAUUGGAGGGCAGGUAGGGGAUGUGCCUGGGAAGCAAGAGAACGGCAGUGAGGGAAGAGGAUUAUCAUCAUCAGCUCCAAGCACUGACAUGAAAGAGCAGCUUCACCUGCAUGAUUGCAUGAAAAGGACUGAGAAGCAACUAUCUUAAGAAAUGCAACUAAGCAGUGAAAUGAAGGCAAGAGACCUUCUUGGGCUGCAGUUUCAUGGAAAGGGUGCCAACAAAUAUUAAUUUGAAACCAAAUACUUACUUCACUUUAUUCUACUCUGUUGCCUUUGAACAACCAUGCACUUGCCAUUGAAUACAAAAUAAGAAAUCCCAACCUCAUCCUGUUCCUUGGGUGCUACUCCCUCCUUGUGCCAGUGUAUUUUCCCAGCCAUCCAGUGAAACAGACUGGGAAAAUGACCCAGCCCAGACGCUAACAUGACAAAAAGCAGUUUCAGACAAACUGAACUCCCCAUCAAGUUCACACGUGGCUGUAUGAACGCUGGGAUUAGACAAAGGAGGAGGCAGGAAGGAAGUGCAGUGGGGCACUUGGGGCACAUUACAAAGUUACAAAAUUGUGAGCACUUCUGGAUAUAGUUCCACCUUCUCUGACCCAGGUCUGUUCACAAAAUGGAGAAAAACACGGGGCUAAUAGAAACGCAGUGGGCUCUCGCUAAGACUGAUUUCCUUAUCCCUGUAUCUACAUUUCCAGAAAACAGGGGAAUCCUAGAUUACAAUAAUCCUGAACUCAUCAAUAUUUUAAUUAUUCCUUACAUACUUACAAUCUAAGAUACUUCAAGGAGUUUAUUUAUUUAUAGGGAAGCUUACUAUUAACUACUCUGAGACUUGCAAAAACACCUCUUCAGAUCCUUAGGGACACGAUACAAAAGGAGAUUUCUGCCACUGGUUUAGCUGAGAGAGUAAUCAGGCAGUUGUAACAGCUAACAAGCUUUGCCUUUCACUACUUAACAGAAGGAACUGCUGCAGAAAUACAAAAAAGUGAAGUCACUAGCCUGAACAGAAUGGUAGCAGGAGGAAAAAAAAUCAUUACAAAUUUUCUGAAUGUACACAAAAGCACCUUGAUUUCUCAUAGAAAUGGGGAAGGCACUGGAAAGAGCCCCAGAAGGCAGCAGCGGAAACUGGAAACUCUCCCCAACUCACCUGUGCUUGCUUUUAUAUCCAUUCCCAGGAGUACACUUCCCCCCUCACCCCCGCUCCGACUGCUCUGUGCUGAGGCUGCCUUUCACCAUCUUGUUCUGCAAGGAGGGAAGAGAGCAAGGAAGGGGGGGCUGACGAACCAGCAAGCCAAACAGAGGAGGAAAAAGAAAAUGAGGGAGCAACGGAAGACAGGGGUAGGGAAAGUGAACAUACAGAAAGUGAGAGAGAGAAAGAGAAGUCAGUAUUGGAACCAGACAUAGAUUUUUCAGACAGAGUUUUCCCUGAGACAAAAGCAGGCAAUUCCGCAAAAGUAAAGAGUUUGAGAUAUGAAAGCCUGAGUUAUUUUAAGAAACACAGAAUUUAACACAAAAGGAUAGAACAAGCUGAGAAGUAUCACUUUAAAAUUGCUCCAGAGAUGGCUUAAGAUAAUCUAAGACUGCAGAGCCACCAAAAGGUGAGGUAUCCCAUACCCUUUAUAGACUACUCAGUGCCUCGGCAUCCUCCUCUGCUCUGUUGCAACCACAUUUGCUGCGAAGCAGACACAG